rnacentral:lncRNA from 1 species
UUGGCCCUCCUCAGGCAUUUCAGAGGACAGGCAUUGUGGAAGUAGGUAGGUGCAGGAAUUUGCCUUCCUAGGCUUCAACAUGAUGGCUUUUAAUUUACUGGAUGAACAUGGGACAUCUAGGUAAACAUGAGAAAAAUGAGGUCACCUUUCACUACAUACUCUAGACUUUUGACCUUGGGUUGAAUGCACAUUUAACUGUACGGUGGGAGGCAGUUUUGGUGCAAAGGAUAAGGACAAGGAAAAGACAAAGGCUUGUUCAAGUGUCAGCAAUAGCUUCUCCUCCAGUGUCCAUGACCUCACCGGUCACAGGUAGGUGGCUAUCUUUACAAUACCAGGCAUGGAUUUUCUCCUAUUGUGUCUUUAAAGCCAUUAUAUGUCUCUUGGCUACUCUCAAGAUAAUAGUGUCGCUGCUGUACCCUUGAGAAGAUGAAAACUCCAGGCAAUUAUUGACUCUGGAGAGAGGGAAAAACAGUCUUCUCUAGCAAGGAGCUCUCUUAUGGGUUAUCUAAUCCUAAGUGAUCAUCCCUAAACACAUUUACAUACAAACAACAUUAAAUAGACCCAACGGUGUGUGUGUGUGUUAAAUCAUAUGCAUAUUUAACAAUAAUACUUAAAGGGAAAAGGUUUUAAAUAUGAAAGGAAGUAAGAGAUCAUGGGAAAAGUUGGAGAGAGGAUGGGGUGGGGUGGAAAAGAUGUAAAUACAGUACACAAUUAUGAUAUUCCCAAAAA